AUGUCAUUCGCAUAAAAUGUGGGUGAUGGAUUUAUGGGUUAGCUUAAUCAGGUCCUCCUAAUUGGGUUAGAUGCUAGGAUUAGAAUCAAAGAUUAAAUGAACUAAGAAAAAAAUUAAAUUAAAUCGAGAUUUCUCUAGAGCCAAUACAAUAGUUGUAGUUGAUCGAGUCCAUAUCUUUGAUUAGACCCAAAUAGACUUUGAUCUUGAGCUUAGUGGUCGAAUCCAAAUCUGUAAGUACAUCUAAUUGAAACUGAUUAACCAAUUAAUGUCUAAGAUAAGUUUGACAGUCUUGAUCGAUAGUUAUUAAUUAGGAGCUACUUGUAUAGAUUGAGUCUAUAACGAGUUAAUGGCAUAUCCCUCCCAUCGAUCUCACUUACCUGACCAACACAGUGAAUCAAGUUUUGAUCAGAUCACUUAAUGAUUAGAAUUGACCCAUGCUUACUAGAAAAAUCAGUUUGACUGAUUUAGAUAUCCCU
rnacentral:lncRNA from 1 species